CGACGCUCGCCGGCCUUCGCCUUCCGCCGCAACGGCGACGUAGCCAGUCGAUUUUCGAAAAAGGUUAACACCUAGUCGUCCAGAUCCGACCGCGACGACCACGUGGCAGCGGUCGCGCCUGCGUGUCCCGUUCUCUCUCUCUCUCUCUCUCUUUUACUCGGAAAUUUCUUCUCAGUCUUCUCGUAGCUAUCGGUCGACGCGAUGCUUCCGCCGUGAAAAACGUUUCUGCCUGCGUACAGCGAGCGGAGACAAGCGGAAUGCGGACGAGUCGACUCGUCGAGCGAAAACACCCGCGGGAGGAGAGAAUCGCAGAAUUUGAGAUACUGCCGAAAGAUCCUGGUGGAUCCAAGGGUGGCGCGUCCGGUGGAAAUUAAAGACCCGCGAGAAUCCAAACGUACCAGCAUUUAAUGAUCGCGAAGGGGAUUAAUGGCCGAAGAAUGGAAACGUGUUUAAAGAUCCGAGGAGUUGGAGCACGAAACCGUAAGCUCGCACAGUUGUCACGAAUUAGAACUGCGACAAACGCGUGCCACGAACUGUGUUGGACAUUAAACCCCUGAGGGUUAACGCCACUCCUGUAGACGGCAAGUGUCUCGGAAAAAAGAAUCGUAGACGCUAUAGAUGCGUGCGCGCCACGCGAGCUUUACGAGGGGGGGAAAAAAAAAGGAUCUCCGAUCGAAAAAUAUGAUCUCGCGUUUCCGACGGACCUUUUUGGAAACUGAAACUUAUAUUUGCAAUGAAUAGUUUAAUUUUUAAACACAUAUUUGCCACGAAACAUGAAAUGUUUAACUACGGCAUAUGUAAAUAAAUGAGAUUCGGAUCGAAUCGUA